CCGUCUCUUCCAUGGAGUUCAUCACUUAUUGAAGGAGCUUCCUAAAUCUAUUCUCCAUUCGAUAGGCCAUGACUUUGGACUUGUAUAUACAUGUGGAGUCAUAAGCUUAUGCUUUAAACUCCUUACGAUCUUGUUAUGAAGGCAAGCUUUCACACAGACCAUUUGGAAUAGUGUCAAGCUUGUGGAAGUUUUGAAUGUAGUUUUGUAUGUCC
rnacentral:sRNA from 1 species